AUUAGGUUUAAAUUCUAAAAAUGAUAAAUUAAAUUAUCCUAUAUUA
rnacentral:tRNA from 1 species